ensembl:snoRNA Y57G11C.1145 ncRNA
AACCGGACCCUGCCUCUUCAUCAACUUCUUCCACGCCAUCAUCCACAUCAUCCUCGCCGCAGCCAUCGUCGUCGUCAUCCACUCCACCGACCAGC